GCGUUGUUCGGAAUUACUGGGCGUAAAGGGCUCGUAGGCGGCCAACUAAGUCACACGUGAAAUCCCUCAGCUUAACUGGGGAACUGCGUGUGAUACUGGAUGGCUUGGAUUUGGGAGAGGGAUGCGGAAUUCCAGGUGUAGCGGUGAAAUGCGUAGAUAUCUGGAGGAACACCGGUGGCGAAGGCGGCAUCCUGGACCAAUAUUGACGCUGAGGAGCGAAAGCCAGGGGAGCAAACGGG
rnacentral:rRNA from 1 species